rnacentral:misc_RNA from 1 species
CACGUAGGCGUCGCGGUCCCAGGUCAUCGACAUGGCCUGGCGUACGCGUUCGUCCUUGAAGGGCUUGUUGGCCUCCGUAGCCGGCCAGCCGAAGGUGAGCUGACGCACGGAGAAGCCGGACGGCUCGUUGGAGUACAUCUUGAGCUCAGGCACGUCGCGCUUGAGCUGCAGCACGUCCUCGUUGCGUACGCGGUUGUUGGCGUCGUAGGUGUACGUGUAGAGCGCGCCGGCGCGGAACUGCGCCACGCCCUGCGCGUACUGGGUGAUGAUCG